rnacentral:rRNA from 1 species
AUGGGAGAGGAGACAGGCGGCGCCACUGGAGUGGCGAGCUGGUCGGCGGCAAGCCAGUCAUCGGCGACGACGGAGGAUCCGGCGAUGGAGUUGCCAGUCCUGAGGACCGAAGCGCACGGGAGGCCGAUAUACGGUUUUGAAUCAGUGAAAUUCAGUGUGGAGGUGCAUCAUGGUGGGUUUUUUGUGGGGAAGGGAGUGAAUCUGACAUAUUUGGAUGAGAAGAUAUGUUGGUUUGACAACCUAGACAGAAGAACUUUCUGCAAUGACUGCAUCUACUACAUGCUAGCACUAUUGAAUUAUCCUGAUGAAGUGAAAAUUAUGUAUUAG